UGAGGGGAUGACAAUAAAAUGUGUUCAGGUAUAGUUCACCCAAAAAGGAAAACUGUCAUGUUCCAAACCUGGAUGACUUCCCUUUUUUGCAGAACAUUAUAGAAGAUAUUUUGACCAUUGUUCAUAACCAAAAUGCUUUGGUUACCAUUGACUUUUAUUCUAUGGACAAAAAACAGUGAGACAUUUCUCAAAAUUCUUUUAUGUUUCACAGAAAAAAGGUGAAUAAACGAUGACAGAAUUGUAUCUGAAUUUAUGAAUGGAGAAGUGGCAAACAUAGGAUACUAAAUUGCACUUUUUAAAGUUUUUUAAAACUUUGUUCAGAGUGUGGCAAGAACUGUAAUAACUGAUUUAAGACUGAACAAUAAACAGUUACUGGUGUCAGGUGAA